AUUGAACGCUGGCGGCAGGCCUAACACAUGCAAGUCGAGCGGAUGAAGGGAGCUUGCUCCUGGAUUCAGCGGCGGACGGGUGAGUAAUGCCUAGGAAUCUGCCUGGUAGUGGGGGAUAACGUCCGGAAACGGGCGCUAAUACCGCGUACGUCCUGAGGGAGAAAGUGGGGGAUCUUCGGACCUCACGCUAUCAGAUGAGCCUAGGUCGGAUUAGCUAGUUGGUGGGGUAAAGGCCUACCAAGGCGACGAUCCGUAACUGGUCUGAGAGGAUGAUCAGUCACACUGGAACUGAGACACGAUCCAGACUCCUACGGGAGGCAGCAGUGGGGAAUAUUGGACAAUGGGCGAAAGCCUGAUCCAGCCAUGCCGCGUGUGUGAAGAAGGUCUUCGGAUUGUAAAGCACUUUAAGUUGGGAGGAAGGGCAGUAAGUUAAUACCUUGCUGUUUUGACGUUACCAACAGAAUAAGCACCGGCUAACUUCGUG
rnacentral:rRNA from 1 species